AAUGUUUUUGAACAUUAAUAAGUUGUCUUUGUGCACAUAUUGUUUACAGAUAUCAGACUGCAAAGAGCGCUACAGAGAGUCAACAUUUCACCAGUUGUCAGUGGGAACAGCAUGAUGUAAAUACAAGACGGGCCCUCGUCCUUCGUGCACUUCCUGUGUACCUGCGUGAAGAUGCCUCCACAUUAUUCAGGACUUGUGAUUCAGCAGAUGGUCCAGACCUCACUGACACUCCUGUGGCUCUGCUGUCAGUUGUCACGGAUGACACUACUGAUUCGGCCCUCUUCAGUCCCGAAAGCAUCUGCAUUGUCGUUGAGGAUGAAAUACUUGUGAAUGGUCCCACAAAUCUGGCUGAGUCAUUUCUCCUGCUCUUUGGAUACAUCUAUGCACUAGACCUACAAUACCCAAAGAAACUUGAGCUUACAUUCACAUUUAUCCAGAAGGUUGUGAUGUGCCUUGAGGACAACAAACCACUGAAAGGGCAUCUACUGAUGCUGAAGAAUGAUUUGUUCAAUGAGUGAAUCACUCAGAAUGGGCUACUUGUUGAGCUGAGUAUUGAGUAAGCUUUUUUUUGUUUUUUUUCCUAAUCAUUUGGCUUUUCUACUUCAAAUUUAAAGUGAAUGACUGCUCAUUUUGUGUACUAAUCAUGUUUAAUGUUGUGUUGCCUAAUACCUUAAUGCACUACCUGAUGUUUGUUCCCAGUUAUGUACAUUUGUAUAAACCAGUACAAAUCUGGAUGCCUCAUUUCUCCUGCUUUUUGUUCUGUGCACUAGACCUACAAUACGCAGACUCUCGAGCUUUUAUUUACAUGUAUCCAGAAGGUUGUGAUGUGCCUUGAAUACAACAAACCACUGUUAGGUCGCUUACUGAUGCAGAAGAAUUUGUUCAAGUGAAUCACUUGGAAUAGACAACUCGUUAAGCUAAGUAUUGAAGGUUU